rnacentral:rRNA from 1 species
AGAUAAUAGAUACCCCGGUAGUCCGCACCGUAAACGAUGAUCACUCGUUGUUGGCGAUAUACAGUCAGCGACUAAAGCGAAAGCAUUAAGUGAUCCACCUGGGAAGUACGACCGCAAGGUUGAAACUCAAAGGAAUUGACGGGGGCCCGCACAAGCGGAGGAGCAUGUGGUUUAAUUCGAUGGUACGCGAGGAACCUUACCUGGGCUUGAAAGACAGUUGACCGUCUCCGAAAGGAGGCUUUCGCAAGACAAUUGUCUAGGUGCUGCAUGGCUGUCGUCAGCUCGUGCCGUGAGGUGUCGGGUUAAGUCCCAUAACGAGCGCAACCCCUAUUAGUAGUUGCUAACAGGUAAUGCUGAGAACUCUACUGAAACUGCCAGCGUAAGCUGUGAGGAAGGAGGGGUAUGACGUCAAGUCAGCACGGCCCUUACGUCCAGGGCUACACACGUGCUACAAUGGCCGGUACAAUGGGUCGCUACACAGCAAUGUGAUGCUAAUCUCAAAAACCC